CAUGCAAGUCGAGCGCCCCGCAAGGGGAGCGGCAGACGGGUGAGUAACGCGUGGGAAUCUACCCAUCUCUACGGAAUAACGCAUGGAAACGUGUGCUAAUACCGUAUACGUCCUUCGGGAGAAAGAUUUAUCGGAGAUGGAUGAGCCCGCGUUGGAUUAGUUAGUUGGUGGGGUAAAGGCCUACCAAGGCGACGAUCCAUAGCUGGUCUGAGAGGAUGAUCAGCCACACUGGGACUGAGACACGGCCCAGACUCCUACGGGAGGCAGCAGUGGGGAAUAUUGGACAAUGGGCGCAAGCCUGAUCCAGCCAUGCCGCGUGUGUGAUGAAGGCCCUAGGGUUGUAAAGCACUUUCACCGGAGAAGAUAAUGACGGUAUCCGGAGAAGAAGCCCCGGCUAACUUCGUGCCAGCAGCCGCGGUAAUACGAAGGGGGCUAGCGUUGUUCGGAUUUACUGGGCGUAAAGCGCACGUAGGCGGACUAUUAAGUCAGGGGUGAAAUCCCGGGGCUCAACCCCGGAACUGCCUUUGAUACUGGUAGUCUUGAGUUCGAGAGAGGUGAGUGGAAUUC
rnacentral:rRNA from 1 species